rnacentral:lncRNA from 1 species
CACCACUUUCCCCUGUUCCUAUUGGACCCUGACCCUCAGAUCCUCCUCCUUAAGCUCCACAUAUAUUCCUGGAUCCUCCAUUACUCCCUCUCUCUGUUUCUGGACCCCUUUGGUGUGUGGUUGGAAUAAAUCCCACUGGAACUCCACACAAUGACCCUUCCUGCCUCUCUGAUGACCUGAAGCAAUCUGUGGUGUGUCAGUAUGUGUGUGUGUGUGUGAGUGUGUGACUGCAGCCUACCCAGACGCUGACCUCUCUGGAGCUGCUUUUGGGAAGGUAGUUGUGGCAGCGGCCUCAGGGGAGACAAAGAGUUCCAUUGUCCCACCCCAAACCCCUUGUGAAGGGCGGCCCAGGUGUUCUGAUUGGGUUUGAGUCCCUGGGGGGUUUUCCCUUGGUGUGCUUCUACUGGCCCCUGACCCUGAACUCCACCCUCAAAGGUGGGGACCCUUGAGAGUUCUGUCCCUCAAACACCCCUGCUGUGCCUCUGUUCAGGGCUCUCUGUUCUGAACCUGACUUUGUUCCCAUGCUGAAUAAAUGGUUUCAUGAACGGGAGCUCGUCUCGUUCGUCUUUGAUGCUGGUCCCCAGAAUCCUGCUGCUUCCCUGGACGAGAUCCUGAGGUUGCUGACUGCAACAAAUGGUGAGAGAAUGCGUGGCAUCCAGUGAAGCAAGAGAACAGCAGGACCCAGCUCCAUGGACACCUCGUAAGUCCCCGGCUGAUGGCUUGAGAGCCGGCGAGACCCCCGCCUUGGAAAGGAGGACUCGAGAGUACCUGGCAGGGAGACUGGGUUGGGAGUGCCUCAGGCAUGGGGAAGAAAAGGGCUUACGGAGGUGUGGGAGCCGAGACCAGACGCUGGGACAAGCACCUAACAUCACCCAACGAGAUGUAUUAUGGACGAUUACAUUAACAUUAUGGACGAUUAUGGACGAUAUCAACAUUAUGGACGAUUACAUUAACAUUAUGGACGAUUAUGGACGGUAUGGCUCUUCCAGUGGACUGUUUUUUGUCUUCUGUGAAGUUCCUUUUUUUUUUUGGUGUAUACCUCCCUGUACCUUCCCCUUUCCUCUGUUCCUAAGGGCAGGACAAAGGGUGAAAAAAGCCAAGAUGGCUUGGGGUUGCUGCCGUCUCCCCGUCACCCCGGUGUCUCUCUGCCAUCCCUUCCCAUUUUCCUGAAGGCAGGCAAGGGAUGGAGAACAUCCAGAGUGAUGCGGGUCUGCUGCCGUCUGCCCGCCAUUCCGUGUCCUCCUUCACCCCCUGUCUUUCCAUAUUCCCCAUUCCCUGGCCAGGAAAGUCCAUCCCGGCCUCCCCCCCAUCCCAAGAUGGCGCUGACCAUGCGGUCUGGGAUCCCUUGUUUCCGGCCUUUCUCCUUCUUUUCCGGCCCGAACCUUCCCUUCCCCCAGUAACUCCUGCUUUGCUCCCACCCCUUGGUUCGGCUGCUCCACCCCUGGGAGCUCUGCCUUUGCCAUCGUGGGCAACACCUCCUCUGGGGAGGUGGAAACUGUAACCUGAGCUCCCAAAGCCGGUGUUUCACCGAGAUCGUCUAAAGGGGCGACGCCCACAUGGGAGCCGAGCCGAAGCUGGAGAUCGAAGAACUGCCCCUCGUGAGACGAGAUCCAAGAGCUGAACCCUUCCUAACAGAGAAUCCUAAAGUGGAACAGACUGAACUAAAAACCAUUAUGUUUGUAUUAAGUACCAUCACUAUUUAAUUUGCCCGGCAUGGUCCGGGAUUUAAGUGUUUGUUUUUAAUUUUUUUUUUUUCUGUUUGCUUAAUGUGUUUUGUUACUGAGUUACUGGUGUCCCACAAAGCAAAGUGGGUGCUCUGUGGAGGAGGUGAGAUUUUAAGGUGUAUGUUUGGAAACAUUUUAAGCUCAUGUUUAGAAACAUUUUAAGCUUCUAAUUAAAAUAUGGGGAAGAAAAAAAAAAAAAAAAAGAGCAGAUAUGGCAGCAGCCUCAGGGGAGACAAAAAGUUCCAUUGUCCCACCCCAAAGCCCUUGUGAAGGGUGGCCCAGGUGCUGUGAUUGGGUUUGAGUCCCUGGGGGGUUUUCCCUUGGUGUGCUUCUACUGGCCCCUGACCCUGAACUCCACCCUCAAAGGUGGGGACCCUUGAAGAGUUCUGUCCCUCAAAAACCCCUGCUGUGCCUCUGUUCGGGGCUCUCUGUUCUGGACCUGACUUUGUUCCCAUGCUGAAUAAAUGGUUUCAUAAACGAGAACCCGUCUCGUUG